rnacentral:snRNA from 1 species
ACGCUCCCCUCCGCAGCACGUAGACCAAACUGGCAACGAUAGAGAAUAUUAGCGUGACUCCUGCACAAGAAUGAUGUAAAUUUGCAAAGCAUUCCAUAUUUUU